rnacentral:rRNA from 1 species
UGGGGAAUUUUGGACAAUGGGCGCAAGCCUGAUCCAGCCAUGCCGCGUGAGUGAAGAAGGCCUUCGGGUUGUAAAGCUCUUUCGGCCGGAACGAAAUCGCACCCGUGAAUAACGGGUGUGGAUGACGGUACCGGAAGAAGAAGGACCGGCUAACUACGUGCCAGCAGCCGCGGUAAUACGUAGGGUCCAAGCGUUAAUCGGAAUUACUGGGCGUAAAGCGUGUGCAGGCGGUCUCGCAAGUCCGAUGUGAAAUCCCCGGGCUUAACCUGGGAACUGCGUUGGAAACUACGAGGCUCGAGUGCGGCAGAGGGGGGUGGAAUUCCAGGUGUAGCAGUGAAAUGCGUAGAUAUCUGGAGGAACACCGAUGGCGAAGGCAGCCCCCUGGGUCAGCACUGACGCUCAUACACGAAAGCGUGGGGAGCAAACAGGAUUAGAUACCCCCGUAGUCC